ensembl:lncRNA
GAGCAUGGAGCAGAGGCGAGAGGCUGAGGCCCAGUACUUCAACCCAGUGAGUGCUAGAGACCUACCCGAUCGCCCGAGUAGAUUGGGUGGAUGCAGAGCUGGCCUGGGGCCCUCCCUGCCCCGCGACUCGGUGGAGAAGCGGUGCACCAAGGCGCAGAAGGAAGUGGAUGAGUCAUUUCUUAGGAUAAGCCCAGUGUGGACAAAUAUGCAGGUGGAACAGGAGGUGUGUGGGCGUUUGUGCUUAAGCUCACAGAUGCUCCCCCUGCAGAUGCCCAGGACCCUGGGUAGAGCCCGGGGACUGCUGGUGAUACCCUCAUGUUGAGAAUGAGGUGAAGAAUUCAGUGUCACCUGGGAACCCAAGUUGUGCCCUGUCCACGGAGGGUGGGGUUGGCAGAGCAUCUGUGCGCCCACUCUUGUCCUUGGCCUGUGAUUUUCACAAGAGGUGGCCAGAGAUCACAGAGUGGAUGCAGCAUUCAUGAGAGUUUCCAAGGAAAAGACCUCAGGAUGAGGAGGAAUGGCCGAUGUGUCUGUUGGAGCAAGGAUACGGUUGGCCCUGUAGGUGCAGCAGGCAGCAGGCCUGCCUAAGAAGGUGUGUGAACGGAACAGCAAACACAAGCACCGUGCAGAAAACACACUUGCGGGACAUGGCCAUCCGGAAGCGCUGAGGGAUGGGAAGGGGGAGCAGCCGCUCCCAAGGCCUCAAAACAUGCUUCCCCUCAGCGUGGUGACCUGUGCCCUGGAGGCGACCUUAACCAGGUGACCGUGUCCUUCUGCUGGGUCUGGGAUAACUGGGCACCAACUUUAACGGCUCAGAGAAAGAUUGGAACUCUUGGCACCCUUGUUUGGAAUGUCUUCCAAGUAGCUAAGGGUAAUGAUGAUUCAUUUAUUAUUUUGUUAAAUUUCUGUUAGUUUCUAAAAGGGUGGGAAAACCUACUAAAAUAUUCAUAAUCAAGCGUAAACACAAAAGUAGAGGAUGACAGUUGUACACAGUGAGACCAGAAUUUUAAAACACUGUCUCUGUGCGCUCAACCAGGCAUGUGUAACACACACACCUUCCUGGCCAGUGAGACCACAGGGCUUAUUUAUUUAUUCUUUUUGCUCAGGUGAAUUUUCUUCAAUGAAAUAUAUUAAUUUAUAAGAAGGAAAGAUCAAAAAGCAUACAUUGUUUACAGAACCUUGAAGCAUUUGUGUUUCAACCAGCUCAGCAUUAGAAAGGAAUUUAUCUAAAAUGGGAAAUCACAUUUGGAAACAUUUAAACAACCGCUUCUGGGUCUGGAGAGGCGAUCUGUCGCAGCACGCGUCUGCAGGAACCCUGGUUCUGGAAAGGUUCACCAUGGAUCUGGUCCUGUUAGCGUUUCUGUGGGACACAGGGCUGGGAUCAGAGCAACAAUCACCUUUACAACUCAAGAGUCCCUGUGGGAAGAUGAGCUGCUUGAAUCAAGAGGUUGUAACCAGAGCUCCUUGCCCUCCAGCAUGGCCUCACCCGGCUGCCUGCACAGAGUCCACCUGGUCUUCCACCCAUUGGCAUUGGUACCAAAUGCCUGUCUCCAUGCUGUUCCUCCUCUCACUGAUGCCUCAUGGGGCAGGGACAGAGCAUCCCAGACCGCCCCCUAGUCAGGUAGGUGUUGUGUCACACAGGACGUGGGCAACAACAGCACAGGCCACAGAAGGCCUGGUGAUGGAGCCAGAGUGCAACUGAGACCAAUGUUUCAGGGGUCUUUGAACCUGGACCAGAUCUUCCCACACAGAGCAGAGGAUCUCAGCUGCUCACGUGUGAGCACAAAGCAGAGGCACAAAAGGCAGAGGAGCAGGUGAGGUGCCUGUUUUGAGCUCCAGAACAGAAGCCGCCUCCAAAGUGCAGGAGUCUUACAAGAAGGAAGAAACAGGCACGUGCCCCAGACCCCUUUGGGAGCCCUGCAAACCCCCGAGAGUGAUUCGGGUGGAUGGCAGUUUCAGAUCCUCUCUGCUCUUGUUUACUCUUGCUUGGAAGAUAAGAUAAAAUGUACAAGUAUACAAAUAGGUCCAGAGUCAGAAAGGUGCUGGAACACAUGGGUACCUGCGGAACCCAAUUUUGUGGUGGCCACAGAGAGCUGGGCGUUCCUGGAGUUGGAGGGUCUGAACAGCAGCAAUAGACCUGUUGAGGGCAGGUUGGGUGCUGUUUAGACUCUCAGGUUCGUGUUCGGCUGCGUUCCCAGGUCCGCCCCCAGCAUACUGAUUACUGUGCCUCUGCGCUGCUGGCACCCCGGCACUGGCAGAAUGGCUCCCCACUGCCUGCUUCCAUGGCAUCCUCAGCCCUACCCACCCCUUGGGGGUCUUCUCCAGAGAGAUCAUGUCUCUUGGGACUGGAUUCAAAUAAUCAGAGAAAACCAUUUUCUUUACUGUCUUGUUCCAUUACACAGUCAAUAUAAGAAGGAGACAUGAGAUGGAGAGGCUAUUUUGACCCGAGGGGAAAAGGAACUGCCCAUAGUGACUAAUUCCAUUCCUGGCAGCCAACAGGUGUCCCUGGCAGCCAAUGGGUGCCCCUUUUAAAAAUGUGGUCCUGUCUCCAUGGCAGCAACAGUGUGCAAUAUCUUCCCUGUCUAUAAACACGCCUUGGGUUUAUUUGAAAAAUAACAAAUAUCUCUUUAUUUGGUUUAACCAAAUAUCUCUUUAAUAAGAUGUUAUAGACUGAUUUGGGUAGAAAUGAAAAUGCAUGGCUUUCUCUUUAAAGGGGGUCAUGUGUUGACCCCCAGGGAGGCCGAGCAUCUACCCCGAGCAUCUGCCCUUGCCUUUCUCUCCUGUUCUUCUCUGUGCUCCGUCGACCCACCUGUCCUGUUGACCUUGGGCCUCCUUUGAUUGUUAACAAGUGGAGACUCCAGUUAAACAUCAUGUGGGCAAAGACGCCUUUGCAGGAUCUUUCUAUAGGCACUAACUAUGACUUGGGAGGAUUCAUGAUUCAUUGACUUGAACCCAGUGCACAAAUUGUUCUUUUCUGGAUGUAUAACUGGAACAUUGUCCUCAAACUCCAAGAGGAAAAUGCUUCUGAUAUAAAGAUGGAAAUGAGAAAUGGGCUUCUAACCAGAACAUCAUGAGAGCUCGUGCUGCACGUGGAUCUGGACACAAUGGGAGCCUUUCACUCUGCAGGGCAGUCGAAAUGUCAAAUAAUUCUUGAAGCAUAAUGUGUGGCUUGUUAAUCCCUGCCAACGUCUUAUUGCUCUUUGUGUGCUGAAGAAGUUGCGAUUGGAGCAGAGUGACAGUGAGAAGGGACAUUUGUCAAGACCUCCCCCCACAUUUGCCCCACAGCACCCAGAGCCUGCCGGGCACGGACGCCCCCGCCCAGCAUCCUCCAGCAGUGAGAGAUGCUCCACCAAGUUCACAAUCAGAGACGGUGAAGUGCUUUGAACGAGUUACUGAUGAAUCACUAUAGUGAUGUCCUCUUGAUUAAUAUUUAAAAUACUCAUCCAGAUCAAUAAGAAGGCAGCCCACUGAGUCUACUCCAACAGAAGAAUGCACAGAGAUCUCAGCAAGUAUUCACAGGAGAAAAAUGGAAAAGGACAGUGAACAAAUGGAAAAAGCCCAGCCCCACAGGUUGCUAAAGAAACGUGAAACAAAAACAUGGCAAUGCUCACCUUUGCGGGCUGUGCAAGAUGGCAAGAAUUUUUCUCCCCUAAAUGGUCAUGCUUUGCGUUUCUGAAGAUGUUGGAGGCAGCACAGGGCUGUGCUACUGCUGGGCACAUUAUGUGGGCUGUGCUUUCUGCUGAGAGAUUCACACUCAUCUGUGCAGAGCCUGGCUCCGCGUAGUCUCAUCCACCUCACUCUCACCCUUGGCCGACACAUGAGCAAGGGUGAGAAGCACAUUUACCUAUCACUGUGCUUUCCAGGAGGUGAAAGCUGAGAAAUAACCCAGAGGCCAGGCCAGGACUCCCAAAGGUUGCAGGCACCUUAGUCUCUCCCCGCUUCUGCCCACAGGAGUGAGACUCAGUUGUGUUUAUAGUUAUUUUUUUCCUUACUGGAUUUGUGUGCACCAAACUGAAUGAAUCAUUAUCCUGGAUUCAUGUGUGGUGCUUUUAUAAGCUUGUGCCUUUGUAAAAAUAUCGUGAGCACUUAUAAGCCGACCACUGAACAUGAAUGAAUGCUUGAACUUGGCAGUGACUGUAUCUGUGUGAGUCCCUCCCUGCCGACCAAGGUCCUGCCGCCUCCUGGCUGGCCUGACCUGUUUCUUCUUCCUGUGCUCCUCUUUACAUCACAUCACAUCACAUUAUCCUAUAUAUGUACAAAUAUGUGUUCCAGGAAGAUCUCUAACUUGGCGAAAAGAGCAUCGUGCUCAUGACAUCUUUGACGCUUGUUUUACUCCCUGAAUAUUUGCCAUGGGAACCCAUCUGUAUUCUUGUUUUCUUUUUUGAAAUUUUAUUUCUGUUUUUUUUUUUUUUUUUUUUUUAUGGCUGCAUCCAUGGCAUAUGGAAGUUCCCAGGCCAGGAACUGAAUCUGAGCUGCAGCUGCCAAGAACUUUGCCAUGGCUGUGGCACAUCAGAUCCUUUAACCUACUGUGCAAGAAUGGGGAUCAAACCUGCACCUCUGCGGGAACCCAAGCCGCUUCAGUUGGAUUCUUAACCCACUGCUCCAUAGCAGGAAAUCCUCUAUUUUAUUAUAUCAUGAUUUAUUAAUCCACAUUCCUAUGAAUGAGAAUGUGAAAUGUUCCCAAGUUUUUGCUCCUGAGAGCAAACACAACAAUCCUAUCUACAUCUGCUGAUGUACUUGCAGUUUCUCUCUAUGGCAUUUGUUUCCUGGGACUUUGUUUGUGAUCAAAACAAACUGGACAGUACAGAACACCAGCCGGUCAAUCCCUCCCAGUCGGAGGUGGGAGGUUGGAAUCCAGGUGUUGGUGGGCAGGGCUGUGUUCUGCGGGAAGGAGCCUUCUGUGUCUCUCACAGCUUCUGUAGAUCCCCAUGAUCUGGGAUUCCAUGUACAUAAAGAACAUUUUCUAGAUGACAACAUUUUAGACGUGGCUUUCAGGGAUUAGAGACGAGGAUGGGGAAGGCAGGUGGGCUGCAAAAGGGACACUUGUGGUGUCCACAUCAUCUAGACUGGCCGUGGUGAACACGUGAGCUCUAAAAGGGAUGAAAUCAGCUGGAACUCAGCACACACACAAACCAGUGUUAGGAAGAUGGGGGAGUCGGAGUCAUUGCUGCAUUGCAUAUCCUCCUUGUGACUGUUGUGCCAUCCUUGGGCAAAAUGUUAGCAUUCAGGAUUAAAAAGUGAAUUUAUUU